AGGAGGGGUGUUCAGCAGACAGAGAUGGAGGCUGGGAGGAGAGAGGGAGCCCAGAGGAGGAGGAGGAGGGGGUGGGUUGUUCCUGAGCUCAGGGCCGCGGAUUAGAGCAGAGAGCAGCCCCGAUGACAGCAUCCAGCACGCAGCCAAGGCCACCACCAUCAUCUGGCCGGGGCGGAUAUUUCGGAGGCAUCGGUCGAUCUGUUGAUUUUCUCGGGGGUCUUCCAGCCAGACGCGUUCCGAGUCCGUCUGCCUCCUCAUCAAACCACGAGGUGGCUGCAGCAGACUGGAAUUGAGCCCUGAUGAUCACAAGGACCUCUCUCUUCCGUUUUUCUGCCAAUCCUGGAGGGGCUACAGUGCUGAUGUCUCAGAGGACAAGAGGGCGUCCUUUUUUUGGAGUCUUAAAGAGACAAGCGAGAUCUCGAUAAAUGGAGGAGAAGGAGCGAUGCAGGAGCAGGUCUCCUGCUCGGAGGGCCAGUCGAGUCCAGCAGGUGGUGGGAACCAUAAUACGACGCACCCGAGAGUCUCUAAGCAGGUAAGACAACAAGAGAAGAAGUGCUGUGAAGAUGUAGGGGAACACAUAAAACAGUGGGAGGCCGUCCAUGUGAGCACUCUGUGGAUGUGAGCAGAAA
rnacentral:lncRNA from 1 species